GGGACGACUACACCUCUUCACGGAAAUUCUCGGAUCCUUGAAACAACACUUUCAGGGCUCAGCAGAAUGGACAUAGAAACAGCAGUGGUCGAUGAUUGCAUUGAUCCAAAUUUGGAAGUUGUGUGGCAGUUGUGGAGAUCAGAAGUUUAAAAUAAGCCAUUUUGGGACUUGCCUGGUGGCGCAGUGGUUAAGAAUCUGCCUGCCAAUGCAGGGGACACAGGUUCGAGCCCUGGUCCAGGAAGAUCCCACAUGCUGCAGAGUAACUAAGCCCGUGCACCACAACUACUGAGCCUGCGCUCUAGAGCCCGCGAGCCACAACUACUGAAGCCUGCACACAUGGAGCCUGUGUUCCGCAACAAGAGAAGCUACCGCAAUGAGAAGCCCGUGCACUGCAGCGAAGAGUAGCCCCUGCUCAACGCAAUUAGAGAAAGCCCGCACGCAGCAACAAAGACCCAACGCAGCCAUAAUUUCCCUUCUGAGAAGCUGAAAGUCAAGGGAUUAUUUUGGGGAAUUAAAGUAAUUGCAAAGAGAAACAGCAUG